UACGGAGGAUGCAAGCGUUAUCCGGAAUGAUUGGGCGUAAAGCGUCCGCAGGUGGCAAUGUAAGUCUGCUGUUAAAGAGUCUAGCUCAACUAGAUAAAAGCAGUGGAAACUACAUAGCUAGAGUACGUUCGGGGCAGAGGGAAUUCCUGGUGUAGCGGUGAAAUGCGUAGAGAUCAGGAAGAACACCGGUGGCGAAAGCGCUCUGCUAGGCCGCAACUGACACUGAGGGACGAAAGCUAGGGGGGCGAAUGGG
rnacentral:rRNA from 1 species